UAGGGAAUCUUCCGCAAUGGGCGAAAGCCUGACGGAGCAACGCCGCGUGAGUGAUGAAGGUCUUCGGAUCGUAAAACUCUGUUAUUAGGGAAGAACAAAUGUGUAAGUAACUAUGCACGUCUUGACGGUACCUAAUCAGAAAGCCACGGCUAACUACGUGCCAGCAGCCGCGGUAAUACGUAGGUGGCAAGCGUUAUCCGGAAUUAUUGGGCGUAAAGCGCGCGUAGGCGGUUUUUUAAGUCUGAUGUGAAAGCCCACGGCUCAACCGUGGAGGGUCAUUGGAAACGGGAAAACUUGAGUGCAGAAGAGGAAAGUGGAAUUCCAUGUGUAGCGGUGAAAUGCGCAGAGUUAUGGAGGAACACCAGUGGCGAAGGCGACUUUCUGGUCUGUAACUGACGCUGAUGUGCAAAAGCGUGGGGAUCAAACAGG
rnacentral:rRNA from 1 species